rnacentral:sRNA from 1 species
AUAACAAAAAUAAAAAGCAGCAAACCCAUAAAAAUAAGACGUACCGACUCUGACAUAACAAAAACAACACGGCAGAGACGCAGCUAACAGAUUUUUUUGGAGAAGGUGUGCUUUCAGGGGACUUAACCGUUACCCGCAACCGGGCAGAGAACAAUAAAACUACCUCAAGGUAGCUACCGAACUGGUUGGAUCACCUGAUAAGGCAGAUCAGCGCUCAAAAAAAUACGUUUGCUCUUGAUCCCGGAUGGGGAUCAGCCAAAACAGCGGUAAAGGGCCACGGUUGACAAAAACAACAACAGACCGCCCCUCAAUAAUAAAAAAGAGCCUACAACAACGCAUUCAAGGGGAGCUUCGGCUCCCCUUCGUGUUUCUGCCUCUCUGUCAUUCGACAACUC